UACGGAGGAGGCAAGCGUUAUCCGGAAUUAUUGGGCGUAAAGCGUCCGUAGGUGGCUCUCUCAAGUCUGCGGUCAAAGACCGGGGCUCAACCCUGGAAAGGCCGUGGAAACUGGUGAGCUAGAGUACGGUAGGGGCAGAGGGAAUUUCCGGUGGAGCGGUGAAAUGCGUAGAGAUCGGAAAGAACACCAAUGGCGAAAGCAGGUCUCUGGGCCACUACUGACGCUGAGAAGCGAAAGCGUGGGGAGCGAACAGG
rnacentral:rRNA from 1 species